rnacentral:lncRNA from 1 species
UUUUUUUUCUUUUUAGGGCCGCACCUGCGGCAUAUGGAAGUUCCCAGGCUAGGGGUUGAAUCGGAGCUGCAGCUGCCAGCCUCCGCACAGUCACAGUAACUUGGAAUCCAAGCUGCAUCUGCCACCUACACCACAGCUCACAGCAACGCCCGAUCCUUAACCUGCUGACCAAGACCAAGGAUCGAACCCACAUUAUCAUGGAUACUAGUCAGGAUCAUUACUGCUGACGCCACAAUGGGAACUUCUAUAUCCAUGUUUUGUAUAACCCCUUAUUUAAAAGGUUAUUCCUUCUUCAUUCCCACUUAUUCUGGCUAAGAUGAUCAUUUAUCAUCUAACUGAUCUCCCUAUCCAAAUUUGAAAAUUUUCCAUAACUUACUCCAUACUACUGUCAGAGUGACCAUCAAAAGCAUCCCCUUUUUAAAACACUCAAAAUGAAAUCCAAAUUUCACAGCAUACUAUAUAAGGAUUUAUUCUCAGCCCACAUUUCCAACCUAAUCUCAUAAACUACUUGUAGUCCCUCAAUUUAUCAUUCCAUUUCUAAUGUUCAUAUCUUUGCUUAGAAGGUACUUCCUCUGUUUUCUGCCUAUUUGACCUUUACUUUUUAAAAUAAUCAACUUAAGCAUCAGUUCCUCCAACCUCUGCAUCUCCAGAUUCAGUCAAAUGAUUUCUCUUCUGAACCCCAGAGUAUCUUGUACAUACCUCCAUUGUAGAGCAUACCAUACUGUAAUUAUCUGUGUACAAGUCGAACUCUCUCACUAGACUGAGAACUCCUUGAGGGCAGAAACUGUGUCUAAUUCAUCUCCAUAUCCCCAUCACCCAGCACAGUGCCUGGCAGCUCAAAAGGCAGCAGAGAAGCUGAACAUGCAAGAGAGAGCACAAUAAAGCAAUAUUCUUGAAUUGGGGCAUAAUACAGAUAUGAUGAAUGAAUUGAAGUUGUAGGAAAAUAUAUUUCAAGCUCAUUAUGCAAGGAGCUCUUGAAAGAAGAGACAAGCUAUCUCAGGAAGGAGUUCCCCAUCACUACAUGCAAUUACUCAGUGGCUAAAAGACCAUCUGUUGGGUAUAUUAUGAAAGGAGUUGAAUUAGGGUCAAAUUAAAAUAAGCUGUUUUGGAUGUGAGAUUUUUAAGGUCUUUCUAUCCUUGAGGUUCUAAAUGUACAAUCUAGGCUAUAAUCAAGAGAGCUAUUUCUCUGAGCCCAUGUCACAGAUAGGGGUUGUGGACAAGUGCUGAGACCGCAUCUUAUUCCCAUCCAAAGUAGACCAAUUGUGGGAUGGACUGGGAGUUUGCAGUUAGUAGAUGCAAACUAUUACAUUUAGAAUGGAUAAACAAUAAGGUCCUACUGUAUAGCACAGGGAACUAUAUCCAAUCUCCUGGAAUAGACCAUGAUGGAAAAUAACAUAAAAAAAGAAUGUAAAUAUGUAUGACUGAGUCACUUUGCUGUACAGCAGAAAUUGGCGCAACACUGUAAAUCAACUAUACUUAAAGAAAAAAAAACACACAAAAAAAUAAAAAACAAAGUAGACCAAUUAUACAACAUAACUCAUUUUCCAGUGGCCUGCUUCCCAGGUGACCCUUGAACCUGGAGCAGGAAAUACUUUAAGUACUUCAAAGGCCACCAGGUAGAACCUCACAAUCCAAAAUAUCUUCCACAGGAGUUCCCAUCGUGGCUCAGCAGUAAUGAACCUGACUAGUAUUUAUAAGAAUGCAGGUUCGACCCCUGGCCUUGCUCAUGGGUAAAGGAUCCAGCGUUGCCACAAGCUGUAGUAUAGGUCACAGAUGCAGCUUGGCUCUGGCAUUGCUGUGGCUGUGGUAUAGGCAGGUAGCUCCAAAUUGACCCCUAGCCUGGGAACUUCCAUAUGCCAUAGAUGUGGCCAUAAAAAGAAAAAAAAAAUGGUACAAGAAAAUAUUUAACAGAAAAAGAAGAUAGUAAUAGCGGAACAAAAAGAAGACACAUGGAAAACAAGUCGCAAAACAAGUACUGAGAACUGUGUCUAGAUACUUACUUCACAGCACGACAAUGGGAGAAAAAAUUAUGUAUACAUGUAUGUGUAACUGGGUCCCCCACGCUGUACAGUGGAAAAAAAUUUUUUUAAAAUGAAAAAAAUAAAAUCCCAAACAUCCUUGAGGGGAAAAAAAAAUAGCAAAACAUCAGUUCCACCCUGUCAGUAAUUAAAUAUAAUAAAACAUAAAUAAUCCAAUCAAAGGACAGAGCUUGGCAAAACAGAUUUUAAAACUGCAAUCUACCUAUAUGUUAUCUAUAAGAUACAGUUUAGAUUCAAAGACAAAUAGAUUGCAAGUAAAGGGAUGGAAAAAGACAUACCAGGCAAACAGUAACCAAAAGAGAGGGGAGUAGCUAUACUAAUAAAAUACAGAAUUAAGAAAAGACUGUUACUAGACACCAACAAGGAUAAUUUAUUACAAAGGAUCAAUUUAUCAGGAAAACAGGAUAAUUAUAAACAUAUAUACACCUAAUAACAUAGCACCAAAAAUAAGGAGAAAAUGCUGAAGAGAAAAAAUAGAUAAUUCAGCAAUAAUAGUUUCAGUAAUAGAACUAUGCAGAAGAUCAACAAGAAAAUACAAAACUUGAACUCUAUAAAUAACCACUUUACAUAUUAUUCUCAAAUAUACAUGAACGUUCUCCAGGACAGACUAGAUGCUAAGGCACAAAACAAGUCUCAAUAAACUUGAGAACUGAAGUCAAAGUUAUGUUCUUCCAUAAUGAAAUGAAAUUAUAAAUCAGUAACAAUGAAAUUUGAGAAAUUCACUAAUAUGUGGAUAUUAAACAACAAACUUCUAAAUAACCAAUGGGUCAACAAAGGAAUCAAAGAGAAUUAGAAAAUAUCUUGAGUGAAACUGUAAACAGAACAUAUAAAAAGCUAUAUAAUUCAAUUCUAGUGAACAGAUGCUUUAAAAAGACAUUUCUCCAAAGAAAUACAAAUGGUCAAUCAGCACAUGAGAAGCUGCCCCAGACAGAUAUACCAGUCAAAAUCAUAGUGAGAUACAAAAUACAGAUGACCCUUGAACGAUAUGGGUUUGAACUGUGUAGGUCCACUUAAUAGGUGAAGUAUCACAGUACAACAUGAUCUGUGGUUGGUUGAAUCCACAAAUGCGGAACCCUGGGUAGGAAGAACCACAUAUAUGGAGGGCUAACCAUGUUAUAUAUGGAUUUUCCACUGUGAGAAGGAUUAGCACCCCCAACUCCCUGUCAUUCAAGGGACAACUGUACUUAACAUCUACUAGGAUGGAUAUUAAAUAAGAUAGAAAAAUAACGAGAAUGGAGAUAAAUUGAAUUCCUCAUAAUUUAUUGGUGAUAUGUACAGUUACCAUAUUUAUAUACAGUUACUAUAACAGUCAACUACUCAUAAACAUUAAAUGUAAAGUUGCUAUAUCAGAGCAACUGCAAUGCUAAAUAAUUACCCAAGGAAAAGAAAAUAUGUCCCCCCAAAACCUAAAUAUCCAUGAGUUGAUGGAUAAAAUAAGGUUAACUCAUAAAGUGGAAUAUUAUUCAGCUAAAAAAAGGAAUGAAUAUAUACUAUGAUAUGAAUAAACCACCAAAAUAUGCUAAGUAAAAAGAAGCCAGACACAAAUGUCACUUACUGUAUGAUUCCACUCAUAUGAAUAUCUAGAAUAGACAAAUUCAUAGGAACAAAAAUGAGAUUGGUAGUUUCCAGGGUUGGUUAAAGGGGAAAAUGAGGAAUGUCCGGUAAGGCUAUAGGGCUUCUUUGGGGGCAAUGAAAAUGUUUUAUGGUAAGACAGUAAUGAUGGUUGCACAACUCUAUGAAUACAUGAAAAGCCACUGAACCUUAAAAGGGUGAAUUUUAUAGUAUAUAAAUUAUAUCAUGAUACAGUUGGUUUUUUUAAAAAGAGAUUAACUACCGGAGUUCCCAUUGUGGCUCAGAGGUAACGAACCCAACUAGUAUCCAUGAGGAAGUGGGUUUGAUCCCUGGCCCCACUCAGUGGGUUAAGGAUCUGGAGUUGCCAUAAGCUGUGGUGUAAGCUGCAGAUGUGGUUCAGAUCCCACAUUGCUGUGGCUGUGGUGUAGGCCAGCAGCUGCAGCUCUGAUUCAACCCCUGGCCUGGGAACUUCCAUAUGCUGUGGGUGCAGCCCUAAAAAGGAAAGAAAAAAAAAAAAAAGAAGUAAACUACCUUACUCAAGAAUCACACUGAUUAACAGGCUAAGAUGGUAUUCCUACUAUAAAGCAUUAAAUCCUGUUAUUACAAAAUUGAGAUGACACUUGUUGGCUAUAAAUCCAGACAAACUGCCUCCAAAUAAUUGCUAUCAGUAUCUUGGCCACAAGUGAGGGUAAAGUAUUUGUACCAGCAUCAAACUGCCCAGUAUGGGAGUUCCUAUUGUGGUGCCGUGGAAAUGAAUGUGACUAGUAUCCAUGAGGAUGAGGGUUCCAUCCCUGGCUUUGCUCACUGGGUCAGGGAUCUGACAUUGUCGUGAGCUGUGGUGUGGGUUGCAGACGUGGCUCAAAUCCUGCACUGCUGUGGCUGUACUGCAGGCCGGCAGCUACAGUUCCGAUUUGACCUCUAACCUGAGAACUUCCAUAUGCCUCGGGUGCAGGCCUAAAAAGCAAAACAAAAACAAAACAAAACAAACUGCCCAGUAUGUAGCAUGACAUAUAAACAUGUAAGCAAAGAUUAGAGAUAAAGUAACAUACGGAAAUUAGUCUUACCACUGAAAUAUAUUCAUCCACUAGGACAUGUAAGUUUUCCAGUGACACCAUGAAGUGAAAAGAUGAUCCCAUGAUACAGUUGGGCUAAAUAAUGAUCCAGCAGAAAAGCAACAGAGGCAAGACUGCAAAGAACAGUCACUAAAGAACCUCAAAAACAGAAAUACCACAUUUGACCAUAGGUAGUGAAAAAUCUUAGCAGGACCACAUCUAUAUUACUGAGGAAUUCCUGAACCAACACCUACACAAAUUUAUUUUUAGUAACAGACAGGAAAAUAUGACAACUCAGUAUCAUUACAAGGCAGUGAAAAACCAAAAUUAUCCUAAUGGUGGAAAAAGC